UGCUCAGAGCAGCUAGGGUAAAAUCCACGCUGCCUGCCUCUUUGCCUGUGCAAAUGAAGGGAAGAGCUUUGUCAGACAACCCGGCUGAGUAAGACAGAAAUGGCUCCUAACAGCCCCUGGGGACUGGCUUCGGUACCAGAGACAAAACACUGAGCAGAAUGCACGGAGAAAACCAUACAGAAGCAACUACUGCCGUGCUGUUUGGCUGCUCUUGGCUGUUGAUGGCAAGUGGACUUGUGGUGUUAGGCAGCUCUCAGGGGGAGGAUCUGAAGCACUCUAUCUGUGACACCUCGUUUAAGGGAUCCCUGCACUGGAGGCAGGCAGGAGAAACUCUAUUCUGGCCAUGCAGCACUUCCUGCUUGCACUUUACCAGGAACCAGUGCCCGUGCUCAACUCGCUGCAGUUCUGCUCGGAGCUUCCCAGGAGGUGGGCAGCAAAUCUUUCCAAGUACUGCCCCUGCUUUCUAAGAUGGAGCAGGGAGAAGGGGGGGCGGGGAGAGAGAAGCAACAGCAGAAUAAAACAGAACAAACUUCUGGAGAUGAAAAGAAGCUGAGAACUGGGGAGAAAUCUGAUUUUGAGAUUUUGUCACUGUGGUGGCACAAUUUCCUUCCAUGCAGCUGUGUAAUGAGUUCACAUCUGUUAAUGCCACAUGUUGCUCUGCCUUGCACAGAUGCAAAGUCUCUAUUUUUCUAAUUAGCAACAGCAUGAAGUAUAUCUUAAUUUUCUGUCCCCCUUCCCUCUAAUAAAUGUGGUAUUAACAAGGUUACGUGCCU